AGGAUAAUAGUUAAUUAUAACAUUUAAUUUGCAUUUAAAAAGUAUUGUCAUCAAUUUAUCUU
rnacentral:tRNA from 1 species